ACCAGACGAUGCGGUUACCGCGGCUGCUGGCACUGAGUUAGCCGGUGCUUCUUCUGUGAGUGAUGUCCUUCCUGCCGGUUAUUGACCCGCAGGCCUUCUUCCUCACUGAAAGUGCUUUACAACCCGAAGGCCUUCUUCACACACGCGGCAUGGCUGGAUCAGGGUUGCCCCCAUUGUCCAAUAUUCCCACUGCUGCCUCCCGUAGGAGUCUGGGCCGUGUCUCAGUCCCAGUGUGGCUGAUCAUCCUCUCAGACCAGCUACGGAUCGUCGCCUUGGUGAGCCGUUACCUCACCAACCAGCUAAUCCGACAUAGGCUCAUCCGAUAGCGCGAGGCCCGAAGGUCCCCCGCUUUCCCCCGUAGGGCGUAUGCGGUAUUAGCCUGGGUUUCCCCAGGUUAUCCCCCACUACCGGGCAGAUUCCUAUGCAUUACUCACCCGUCCGCCGCUCGCCACCAGGGAGCAAGCUCCCCGUGCUGCCGCUCGACUUGCAUGUGUUAGGCCUGCCGCCAGCGUUCAAU
rnacentral:rRNA from 1 species